UACGUAGGGUGCAAGCGUUGUCCGGAAUUAUUGGGCGUAAAGAGCUCGUAGGUGGUUUGUCGCGUCUGCUGUGAAAACCCGAGGCUCAACCUCGGGCCUGCAGUGGGUACGGGCAGACUAGAGUGCGGUAGGGGAGAAUGGAAUUCCUGGCGUAGCGGUGGAAUGCGCAGAUAUCAGGAGGAACACCGAUGGCGAAGGCAGUUCUCUGGGCCGUAACUGACGCUGAGGAGCGAAAGCAUGGGGAGCGAACAGG
rnacentral:rRNA from 1 species